UCCCAUCUCCCACCAAACUUUAAGGAAUAUUGAUGUUUGUAAACCAUACGGACAAUCAUGGUUACAGCUCAUAAUAUAAACAUCAAUAUUUCCUUAAAUUUCCUUUUGUCUGUAAAGAGUGGAAGAAGUGUGUUUGUAGCAAGGAUGAGUGGGUUCUGUUGAGGAGGGGUGCGUUGCUUUUCUUUGCCAUGCCCAAGGCUGUUCAUUAUCAACAGGGAAGGUAAUCAUUGAGGUGAUCCACUUUUAACGGGGCUGAUUGUGGCCAAUUUAGGGAUUGAAUAUUCUGCACUUUCUGUCCUGGUUCUUCCCUAGCCCAGUUUGUGUCCCACUUCUGUUUUCGAGAAGGACCAUCAAUUUUGGAGCAAUAAUUUUACCAAUUUCUUGUUCAUUUCCAUUUUCCCUUUCCUUGCUCUACAUUGAAAAGUGUUUACUCAAAGGAUGCACAAAUGCAUUGGCUGAACAUUGAUCGAUGUUAUAUUAUUAUAGUAUAUAGGUAUUAAAGUAGUGGUCAAUAUCAACUACAGAUGAGGGAUUUUUGUUAUAGAUUUCAGUUUAAAGGCUGGUUUUUGGUUAUUUAUUGUUACAAAUCAUUUGUGAAACGCAGCACAAGAUGAAAAUGUUUUGAAAGUUGUAAAAAUGCAAUAAGAUCUAAACAUUGUAAAAGACUCAACAAUAACGGUAUCUAUCUUGAUAUUUUUGUAAUGUGAGUAUAUAUGUUUGAUGCAAAACCCAGAAAUAAUGUGAUGAAGGGCUAUAAGAUAAGAUAAAACUUUACUGAUCCCACCAUGGGGAAAUUUUACAGUUUACAGCAGCAAUAUGUAACACACCAGUGCAAAAAAAGGCAGGUAGAAAUAAACAUCCUUAAAGUAUAAACAUUUUAAAAAAUUUUAAGAGUUUAAUCCUUAAAGACAAAGACAUUUUUAUGGUGACUUCCAAAUAUAUUCUUCCCUAUGUUUAACCUUUCCGAAGUGAUUUAUCGCAGUAUUGCCCUGCUUGCUGGUGGUUGUUUAGGUAAUUGAGGGUUAAAGCCAGUCUGCAAUUUUAAUAAUAACUGACGGAGUUUAACAUUUAACAAAAAAAAAACUAACAAUACAAUCCCUGUAAAAAGUAUUCAACCCUCUGGAUAUUUUGCCUUUUAUAAAUAGAAUAAUGAUGCAUAUAAUUUGGCUUUUUUAACUAGAACUCUUAAAAACUCUUGAAUCUCAAACUGAAAAUGAAUUUCUACAAGGCAGUGUCAUUAAUUAAAAAUAUAUAAUGUAAAAUAAGGGACUGCAUAAAUAUUCACCCCCUUGAACGUCACUGACCUUAUCCAACAGAGCUCCAGUGAGUUGGUACUUGUAAUAUCACAGCCAUAGGAAUGGAGAUGAGAGCAGUAACUGUGGUUUAAGUGAUUAUUCUCAGCAACAUUUAUACCAUGAAGACAAAAUAUAAAAUUAUUGAAAAAUAUGAGAGUGCAAAAAAAACACCCAAGUUGCUGUACAUUCAGUGUUCCUCAGGUCAGGACAGAAAGACUCCCAUAAAAAAACCCAUCAUGUAAUAUUUCAGCCUUUUGUCUUCAUUGAUUUCUCAUUAUGUCAGGGCUUCGAAAAUAGGACGUGGCCGUAAAUGUGUGAGGAAAAAUAAAAUUAAAUGCAUAAAAUUUACAGGAGUUCUUCUAUGGUACAAUAUUAGGUUGUUGAUUUGAUACACAAAUAUGCAAACGUGUCAUAUCUUUCAAAUUUUGGUGUGUAUUUGUCAUGUUUUAGUACUUUUGUGAUGGAAUAGUUGUCUGAUUUCCGUCCGUCCAUUCAUUUUCUAAACUGCUGAGGCCUUGUGAGGAGCCUAUCCCGUCCAUCACAGGGCUGACGUACACAGACGUACAACCUUUCACACCUAUGGGAGAUUUAGAUCGACCAGUUACACGUUUUUGGACGGUGGGAGGAACCAACCGAGAACAGAAAGGCCCAUAUUUACUUUAGACAGAAAUAACAGUCUUGAAGAUGCAUCACAGGUAAGUAUCAGACAACUUGUAUUUGCAUUUUCUGUCUAAAAGUUUCACCUUAUCUUUAUUCCUGGAAGUUUUGAUUUGUAUGAUAAACAACUACAAGCAAAAUUUAUGACUAAUACUGUCUGCCUGAACAGUUUGAAAAAUGAAUCGAUUUGUUUUUCAGGAUCUGAUGAAUGAUGGAACCGCCUGAACUUCAGCAGAAUGAAGUUCUUCAGUACCAACAUUGUGGACAGAACUCACUCUGUAUCAUCUAUUCAUACACGGGCCACACAAAUACAAUUCAUUUCAUGCAUUUCUGUUAUUUUUCUUUAUUGACAAAUACAGAAAUAAAAAGGUGUGAAGUAUUUUUUGUGUCAAAUGUGUGAAAUUUAGGAUGUGGAAUCACAAGUGAAGGUGUUAUGAUUGAAAUAUGAGGGUUAAAUCAAGGAUAAGGACAAAAAAAGACACUGUGGUCCAUCUAAUGCCUUCCUCUGUGGAUGAACCUGGAUGAGCACAGCUAAUUAACUUACUUUCAGACAUAUUUAAGACUCAGAUUACCUUUAUUAUUACAAUGCCACAGGGAAACCAGCUUGAAAUAUAUGCACGUGUAAUGAAAUAAUGAAAUGUAUAAAAAAUCUUUUUCAGAAGCCACUAAACACAAUUCUCUCAUCCUAUUUUAUAGGUAAUCUUUUUGAUAGUUUUAGCAGGACAUUAUUGCACAUUAUGAAUAAAAACACAUUAGAUACAAAAAGCUUACGUGCAGCAGACAGAAAUGGAAGGGGGUAAUGCAUGUUGUGAAUUUACAAGAUAUCUAAUCAUAAAAUUUCAUUAUAUAAAGUGUUUUUUGUAUUUUUUGGUUGAUGUGUUAUCCAUUUUUGUACAAACUGAACAACGUUAGACCUCAGUGAGCUUGAAAUAAUCGCACCUGAAAUGUAUUUUUGCGUCUCUCUUAUAUUUUUACGUAUUAUUAAGCAUAGAUAUGAUCCAAAAAGAUAAACCAAACCUCUGUUUUCAUCUUGUUUACAUGUUAAACAGGUCAGUUCAGUCA